rfam:Lactobacillus farraginis DSM 18382 = JCM 14108 DNA, contig: JCM14108.contig00034.
CUAAACAAGUUGAUUCGGAAAGUAGUUUCCAACCAUUGUUCAGAGAGUUGGCGGUUGAUGGGAGCCAAUCUUUGCGCGGAAAUGAAAAUGGCCGAUAAUUGGUUGGUGUGAUCUUAAUCGAAAGCAUCAAACGGGCUGGUCUUCGUUAUUAGACACACCAUUUCUUACGAGAGAUGGUUGACGAGACUUUUUUAGGUAACUGAUUAAGUGAACUCAGAAUGGCAUCGCGUUAAAGCGCUUCUGUA